rnacentral:rRNA from 1 species
UACGGAGGGGGCUAGCGUUGUUCGGAAUUACUGGGCGUAAGGCGCACGUAGGCGGCUUUGCAAGUUAGAGGUGAAAGCCCGGGGCUCAACUCCGGAAUUGCCUUUAAAACUGCAUCGCUAGAAUUGUGGAGAGGUAAGUGGAAUUCCGAGUGUAGAGGUGAAAUUCGUAGAUAUUCGGAAGGACACCAGUGGCGAAGGCGACUUACUGGACACAUAUUGACGCUGAGGUGCGAAAGCGUGGGGAGCAAACAGG